rnacentral:lncRNA from 1 species
UAAAGCAAACAUGCCUGAAGCUCGAAUGAUUAAAAAUCAACAAAAUAUAUACCAGAAGGAAACUAAAAAGGCUUGUUUCUAAAUAAUGACAGAUAACCCAGAUUCAGAAAGAAGAAGAGAGCAUGCCUCCUCUUGCUUCUUUUGUCUUCCCUGAAAUGAAAGUGAAGAAGAAAGUCGUUCCUCUUCAAACGACCAGAGAAAAAUGAAGUUACUUCUAAACGAUGCCGUUUAGAGAUGGGACAAAUGAGCUUGGGCCGGGUUUGAAAUGUGGGCCUGGUGACUUUUAAUUUCGGUUUAGUUGAGACGUUUGAAGAAAGUCCAUGAAAUCAGCCCAACCCAGCUUACUGUCAAGUGCGAAAAGCUACCGUUUCAGGAUUUUGUAAACCUGUUUCUAGGGUUUUGUGAAAAGGCCUGUCGAAGGAAGAGAGAAGAAGAAGGGUUUUCACGGCUUCUGUCUUUUUCUUUGAUUCCUGAGGUGUUGAAGUAGAAGAAGGAGAAAUGAGGGUGAUAUAAAAAGGCCCGUCGAAGCACUAGACCUAAGUUCGAAAGGGUAAGAAUCUAGAGAGGGAGCUGGCAAAGCCGAGGUCCUUAGAGGAAAGAGAUAUAGAGCUGAAACGCGUGAUUAUCUGAGAGUGAAAGCUAAUAAUUGGAGGAACGCGAUUAGGCCACCUGAUAGAGUAGAGUCGAAGAGGAGUUCACUGUGUUCAGAGGCUAUUUGAGAAGAGCGGCGAAGUCGAGCGAGGGUGAAGAAGUUUGGGCGAAAAGAGAAAGGCUUUUCGGGUAUGUUCUCAGUGAAAAUUAAUGUUUUUUUUGGAGGAAAUUUAAGGAGAACAGGGUGAUAAUUCAAUUAUGCUUCAAUAUACAAAUAAUGACUAAAUUUUAGCUAUCAAACUAUUAAAAUAUAGGAUAGGAUGGUAUAGAAUAGACUNNNNNNNNNNNNNNNNNNNNNNNNNNNNNNNNNNNNNNNNNNNNNNNNNNNNNNNNNNNNNNNNNNNNNNNNNNNNNNNNNNNNNNNNNNNNNNNNNNNNGCUCUCUCUGGCGGUGACCUCUUUUCUGCUCCUAGUGAUUCCAUGUUCUUCAUCGACAAGUCGCAAGGUUUCUCUCUUUAUCCUUAUUUUGUUUUUUUUACUGACUUUUCUUUUUUGAUUCCUGGGUAUAUAUUAAUAUGUGAUGUUUAGCUUGAUCAUGUGUCUCAUCUUAUGUCUAUGCUGUUCUGAUCUUUGUGGUAGCUUUGCAUAAGAUGAGUUUCCUGUCAUUUGAAUUUCCUUUAUAUGAAUAUGUAGAAAUGGUUAUUUAUCAAUUGAUAUAUGCCCUUCUGUUAAUAGUGACAGAUUGAUGCUUAACUCAUUUCCAUCAAUGAAUUCUUUGGUUUAUUAUAGAUAAUCAUAAGGUUAUUGAUUGCUAUUUCCAUGGUGAUUCUAGUAAAUUGGAAGAGAGAUGGCUUAGAAAUGGAUUGGAAGGAUCCUCCUGUCUUACUGAUUUGAGUUUGAAUUUCAUGUUAGAGGGUUAGCAUUGAUCCUUUGACAUACUAUCAGAUGUGCAUGUAUUUUAGUUAGCCUUGUGAACUAGAAGUAUACAUUUUCUUAAUCCAAAAAAUGGAAGUUUUAAUAAGCAGAGUGAAGUAUCAAUUCCUUACUCGUGUUGGCUUUGGGCCUUGUGUGACAUCUUUUGUUCACUAACUAUUUCCCAUUUUUUUGUCUUUUUUGGUUGCAUGGUUUGUUUUCUCGGUAACUUUUCUUUUCCUUUGCACUGUUUAAUGGAAUCCAUCCAUGCUCUCUCGUACCAGAUCUUUCAGCGAAACGUAAGAUUGAAAAGCACAGAGAAAAAGUGCUCCAUUUUGAGAGCAUACUGCAAUGCAAUCCUUUUGUUCAGGCAGUUCCGUCUUCAAAACAGAAGUCCAAGAAAAAGCAGAAAAUAGUCGUGAAAGAAAAUGUUGUGGCUCAGGGUGGUUCCAAGGUGGAUACUUUCUAUGUUAGAAGAAUAUUCUUUUGAUUUUACCACUGUAUGGAGCUAACUUUCUGCUCUUAAUUUGUUCCUUCAGGAGGACUCUGUUCCUGCAUCUGACAUGAUUGACUUGUGGGAAAAUAAAGGUUUUAUAUUGCAGCCCUUACAUUUUAAUAUUUUCAAUUUUUAGUUUUUAGAGAUUUUUUUUAAAGGGUUUCUUCUUUCUCUUGCAGGUGAACAUAAUAACAAUGCUAGAAAGGUAAAUCAUUGUCGCAACUAUUUUUAGGAAUUUGACUCUAAUGACUUAUUUUUUGUUUCAUGUAGUCGAUGUAGGGGAUUCUUUUUUGACCUGGAAGUACUUCAGUUAUUUCUAUUAUGUUACGCAUUUUUAGUUUUAAAGGUGCCGUAGCUGAUGAGCCAGUAAUUGGCAGGUAACCAAACCUACAUGUAUUCCAGCAGUAGAAGUUGAGCAUCCUGGAUGCUCAUACAAUCCGACAUUUGAAAGUCAUCAGGUAAUUCUUCUUAUUCCUGUAUGCAGCUAAUGUGCUUCUUAUUCCUUUCUGAUACUACUACAAGGGUUUUGCCUUAUAUUUCUGUGCAGGAUGCCUUGGCGGAAGCAGUUGCUAAAGAAAUGCAGAAAGUCUAUCAGGAUGAAUUGGGACCCCAGCCUGUUCCAUUAACUGUUCCUGGGGAAGUGAUUGAUGACGAAGAUGUAAGUGUAUGCUGUUGCUUCCAUCCAUUAUUACCAAAAUGUGGCUGUAACUGCAUAAAGGUGAUACAAUAUCAUGCAUCUAGAAGUAAGCACUUAAAGCAGAACUCUUACAAAAUCCAGCUAAUUUUUCAGAGGUUAUUUCUUGAUGUGGAUAUUGGAAGCGAUGAUGAUGAUAAAGAUAUGGAAAACUCGAGUGAAAAUGAGGAUACUGCAUCCAAGAAAAGGUAAGCUCUUUGCCAUGGUUUCUGUUGUGAGUGUACUCUUAACCUCCACUAGAUAGAUCCAGAUAAUCAAGAGUUUGGGGGAAGAAAAUUCAAUCUUCACCGAAGAGAACAUCCCUUUGAAACUUCUGCAACCUCAAAACAUGCUUUGGUUCCUUAGCAACGGCUCUGAUGAGAGCAGGCAUCAAGCAUGUAUCUUCCAAUAAUACAUAGUAGAUGAUUUUUCUUGCUAAUUGCCUGUUGUGCUAGUAUCUAUAGACUUCAGUCAAACUGUUCUCAAGCCUGUUGUCAAAAAUAAUUUGUGAGCUUUUAGUGGAAAUAAUUUUUCUUAGAUUAGGAGUUAGAAUGAUCAAAUUUUAAUAUUUGUGGAUUUGUUUUUUGAAUAACCAUUCUGCAGUUCUUCAAAGACAAAGAGGGUAACGCGAGUGGAGUUGAAUAGGAGAGCUAGACGGAAGGAACGACAAAAAAAGGAAGCGGAGGCAAAAAAGCUGGAGGAAAUUUCAAAAGAAAUAGACAGGUAAUAUGUUAUCCUGCAUCUCUUAGCAAAUUUUUCGAUAAAUAAAAUGCACUGACUAUUUUGCUGGUUUACCUUUCUGCAGCUUGCCAGAUAUCUUACAAGAAAUAGCCGAAGAGGAUGCAGAGAAGAACAAGAGACAUCUGAGGAGAGUUAUAGCCAAGCAAGAAAGAUUAAAGUCAUGUCCACCUCGGUUGGGAAAGCACAAGUAAGCUAACUUUUCUUAUUAAACAUUCAGUCUGCUAAAGGAAAAGGAAACUUCAUCAGCCUUUGAUUCCAAUUCCGAUUUUGUGUGGUUGAUUUGUUUACAAGAAAUAGCGUGCAUUUGGAAAUUUCUGGCAGUAAAACUUCUUUCUUUUCUUGUAACUCCUAACCCUACUAAAGCUGGAGGAAGUUUUUUCUCCCUGCGCUGACAAACUAUUCAGAUUGACUUGUUGAAAUAAGAUAAUCAAACGUUAUCUCUGGAUAUUGCUUAUAUAAUUGCAUACAUUUAGCUGAUCUGUAUAAACUGUUGGUCUCACGAUUAGUGAGAGGAUCCCACCACCAAGCUAAGGCAUUAUAGUGGGUGGUGACAAAUCUUACAAGCAUCGAGCAUUGCUUCAAUUAGCUUGAGACAGUGACACUUAUGAAUCCUGUUUGGUGGAAUAAUUUUUACUCUCUAUUAUAGAUUUCAACCUGCUCCUGUUCAAGUCCUUUUAUCCGAAGAAAUCACUGGUUCCCUCCGGAAGCUGAAAGUAUGUUCUGCUCUUCCUCGUUCCUUUCAAAGCUUUUUUGCUUUGUUUUCAUGUUCACUUUGGAUAGACAUUGAAAAUCUUUACCUUAUCUCUCUAUUUUGUGUUUCCACAUACAGGGGUGUUGUACCCUUGCAAGGGAUCGGUUUAAAAGUCUCGAGAAAAGAGGACUGAUCGUACCAACAGGCAAGAAUAGAAGGUCAGUUAAUUAAUUCCCUCUGUCUUGCGCCCGAUUGAAGCUCAAAAUAGAAUAAUUUUUUUCUUUUUAAAUCCUCGUACUCUUACCAUUUUUGCAUGUAAUGGCACUGCAGCUAUAAAUAUAGAAAUCUAUUGCUAAAUUAAAAUCCAUUUCUUCCCUUCUCAUACUUCAACUGGAACACAUUUUUGGCUGGACAGGAAAUAAUAACGUACUGAAGAUGCGCACCUAGUCAUGGCAGAAGGAGAAGAUAUUUCUAGUUUUGAUUAGUUUUUCCCAUGGUAUUAAGGCUUUCAGUUUUGUAUUUUACUUGUGGUCAAAGUUGGAGCCUCUUGAUGGCCUACUCUUUUUUGUUCUAUGCUCAACUGUGUGUGUGUUUUUUUUAAUAUGAUAUAAUUUACCACAAAUUUUCAAUUACAAACAAAUCCAUUUUUAUUUCUUAGAAAGAAAUAAUAUUUCCCGACUCAAAUAAUGUAUGGUUUUAUCCAACUAUCAAAUAUAAUUUACCACAAAUGUGUGAGAAUUAAAAAUAAAGCUAAUUUUUCAAAAAACAAAAAUAAAAUAUGAUACAUUUUAAAAUAUCAUUAUUAAAUUGUACUAAAAAUUUAAUAUUAUGCAUGANNNNNNNNNNNNNNNNNNNNNNNNNNNNNNNNNNNNNNNNNNNNNNNNNNNNNNNNNNNNNNNNNNNNNNNNNNNNNNNNNNNNNNNNNNNNNNNNNNNNNNNNNNNNNNNNNNNNNNNNNNNNNNNNNNNNNNNNNNNNNNNNNNNNNNNNNNNNNNNNNNNNNNNNNNNNNNNNNNNNNNNNNNNNNNNNNNNNNNNNNNNNNNNNNNNNNNNNNNNNNNNNNNNNNNNNNGAGAAAUAGAAGGAGAGAGUGAGGGGAAGACAAGAGAGAUUAUCAGCAGAGGAAGAACAAAAAGAAGGGGGCAAAAAAAAAAAAAGAGAGACAGAGAGGAAGCUGAGUUCUCAGUGUCUAGGUAUACUUCAUCUUCUUCCAAAUUUCAUUUUCGACUGUAAUUUUCUGUGUCUCAUACUAGAAAUUGUUUGAAUGUAGUGCUCGUCGAUCACAAUUAUCGUCUUCCUUAUAGAAUGAAGAGUUUCAAGUUUAUGUUUUGUGAAAUCUAUUCAAAUCCCCUUGCUUUAGUUGAGACGCUAUUAAUCAGGAUUAUAUUUUGUUAUGGGUUGCUUUUGGCUCUUUAUUAUUAUGAUGUCAUUUCAUCAUUGUUUGGAAGCAUUAUCCUUUCAUUCUCACGAAGUUCACUAUUAUCUCAUAAGGUUAUAGGAUGUUCAUGAGCAAGUGGUAUUCAUUUGGUUAAUAGAUGUCACGAAGUUCACUGUACUGCUUCCUUUUGUUCAUUUUAUUUCUCUAUUUUUACUGUCUUGAUCCGAGCUAAGAAAGGGAAUCUAGUUAAGCUUUAUCUCCUUUUUGUUUGUUUUGUUUACUGCUUGAACUCUAAAUCCUAAAUCAAACAAUGAGCAGAAUAGCUUUUCAACCCGAUGUCAACGGUAUAAAGGAUAAUGCUUUCAAAGGAUGUGCAGAAUAGAUUUUGAAACAGAUGUCAACAGUAAAAAGGCAAUUGGUUGAUUGCUUGGGUGUUUGCGCUCUGUACUGUUUAGCACGUAUUUUGCAACCGAUUGCUUUCAUUUGAACCAAUACAAAAUGUGAUAAGCUUGGUAUGUAUUUUUCUCUUAUGUUUACUGUCUGAAAAAACAGCUUGCAUACCCUACACCAGUCUUGCAUAUUCUGUUUCUUAUUUUACAUUUCUAAAGGGUCUGUUGAAUGUAUUUUUGGUGUGCUUGGUACAUUCACAUGGUCAAAAGUAUAACAGAUAACAAGAAUAGUAAAUAGUAACAUGAAAAUUUUCAAAAGAUAAUGAGAAAUAAAAAGAGUGACUUUAUCUUGCUGGCUUGGAUUAAAAUGAUAUGGGAAAUCGUGAUGUCCAUUCUUCUGCCAAGCAUGAAGCAAUGGAGAAUUUUGAGGAGAUGACCAAUGGUAGAAUUCAACUAGGUUUUUUAGUCUUCUUUCCAUUGUUUCUUAUUUUUUAUUUUCAAUGUAUUUUAACCCGUAAUUCCCCAUAUGGUUCACAAAUAUAAUUAUUAAUUUUUAGAUUAAUGUCAUACUCACACAUCAGAGAAUAGUUAAAUUAUUGAGAAUGCAUGCAAAGCACUUUUAGUAUACAGUGAGGUGCCUCACACCUUCGUGUCCUGUGUUAUUUUGGACUCAGAUCUCGGAUUUUGACAAAUGUACUAUUUAGCAUCUGAUUCUGCUUCUAGUCGGAUCAGUGACAGCUCCUUUUAAUUGUAAAUUUUUUUAAAAUUUAUGUUUCCAGGAGUCCUUUGCCUCGUGUCGCUCCCAUUGUGACACUGCCAAUAGAGAAGAGGGGACGGACAUUGAUGCUCAUAGCAGCAGGAGUUUCACUUUUAGAUAGCUCAGCUAUACAGAGUUUCCGCUUCCCAACAUGCGUGCUUUAGCAGCCCAGCUUAAUACUGUUAUGAUCCCUUCCACUCUUUCAACUUCCAAUUUGCAGGAACAUUCUCAGUUUUUCUGUUUGUUUCCUGAUAAAUUGCUUUAUGAGUUUGUUAUAAUUCGUGCAUUAAAUAUUUUUGCAGUACUUCUUUAGAAGAAAUUCUGGGUAUUUGCGGUCUUGCAAGUUUUCAUCCUUUAAUAGAAAAGGUUUCUCUUUUUCUUAGCUACAUAACUGAUUCUGUUCUAUUUUUCUCCUCUUUAUUUUCAUGCUUCUCUUAUCUGUUUUCCUUUGAUCCAUAAAGAUCAACCUAGAGAACUGCAUGAAUAUGAUACUUUACAUGAGGAAUUUGUUGGAAGUAUUUAACUUUUUAUGAUUUGUUUUUUAAUUUGGCUUGCUAUGGUCCCAUUUUUCUCACUGUUGAAAGUUGCUUGAAUUUAUAGAUGAACUGUCUAUGGAAGAGGAAGCUGAAAGGAAAAUUGGAUGGUUACUGAAACUGAUUUUUGCAGGGACUGCAACAGUUGUUGCUUACCAGUUCUUCCCUUACAUGGGUAAGUAAAUUUCUUUCCACUCAGUAUUUGACUACAUUAUAUUCUGAAAAUUGGUUGUAAAAUGUAAACUCACCAUUUUAUGAGAUCAUAUUGCUGAAAAUUGGUCCUGAGAUCAGCAUUUGGCUGGAUUUUAUUGCUGAAAAACCUAUUUUUCUGAUACGCACACUGCUUUGCUGUUUCAGGAGAUAAUUUGAUUCAACAGUCUGUAUCACUGUUGCAAAUCAAGGAUCCUUUGUUUAAAAGAAUGGGAGCUUCACGAUUGGCACGUUUUGCAAUAGAUGGUUAGUGUCCUUUUCUGAACAGAAGUGAUACAGUUUUAGAACUUUGUCGAGAAUACUCGAAAGAUACCUUUUUUUCCCUUGAUAACUUUAGGCAAAUGAUGCAGUGUUAUAUAGCUACAUUGACUACGUGGCAUUUAGAAAUGUUUGGGAAGAACAAAACCUAAGAUUUGGAUCCUACCUAUAGAUGCUACCAAUUGAAAUUAAUAGAGCAUGUAUCAAAUAUUUGCCAUUUGUUAUUUAAAAAAAAUAGGAUUUGCCAGUUGUUUCUUGACUGCAUCUCAUAUAAUAUGUUUUGGUCUCCUUUUUUUUUAUUUCAUAGAUGAGAGAAGAAUGAAAAUAGUGGAUAUGGGUGGGGCUCAAGAGCUCUUGAAUAUGUUGGGAGCUGCUAAAGAUGAUCGCACACGGAAAGAAGCUCUAAAGGCUCUUGCCGCCCUCUCGCUCUCAGGUUUGUUUUGCUUUUUUUUUUUUUUCAUUUCUGUUAAAAUAUACACUUACAGGAUCACAUUAUUGUUGCAAAUCAGGCAGUGCAUCUAUAACAUGCAUGUAUAGGCAGAUAUGUUUAACUUUUCAUUUUUUGUAUCAAAUUCUUGUGUCAUUAUAAGUCUAUGAGAGGCUUCAAACAUUGGACUCUCUCAAAAUCCUUCCUAGUCCUUAUUUCCAUGAAUUGAUUAAGGUGUUUAAGUGGGGCUGACAGAAUCUUUCAAUGUUUGAGGCUUUUUUUCCCAUUGCAAAGAGGAGGGUCAAACCAUAGUUGAGUUGAGAAAUUCCUAUGGUUUUUAAAUAAAUGCAGAUAUAUUUCCUAGGUUUACAUCACGAAUUUCUCCAAGAGGUUUCUUUCCAAAUAAAUAAGCUUGAUCCUCAACUCUCCAUUGAAUACGCUAAUAAUUUUCUUGCAGUGUGUUAAAGAUAAUGAAUUCUUGGGGAUUCAUGAUUUGUUUGUGCAUCUUUUGUUAUGAAGAUGACUUUCGCAUUGGCCUUCCAAGUAUAAAAUAAUUAAUUGUUCUUUUGAAAUAAAAGUAUAAAAUAAUUAAUUGUGUUAAUAGUUUCAAAAAACUCUUAUGCAAAAUAAUUAAUUGUGUCAAUAACUUAAAAAAACUCAGAAAAUGACUCAAUCUAUUACUUACAGAUCAAUACACUCCCUCAUGCACAAACUUGCUAGGUUGGAAGCUUGACGAGCACAAGUCCUCCAUGGCUUGUGCUGAAAUCUAAGUAACUGAAAUUGAAGGUGGCAGUCAAGAUUCAAAUUGUAAACAUUUGGCUCUCAAACUAUAUGAAGUAAUUUAGUAUGAGCAAUUAUUCUAGAAGUGUAAGUUAAUAGAAAAUAUUCACUCUAUUAUUUAUAGAAUAACACCAAAAAUUGGCAUGUCGAAGGUAAUAACUCAAAGAAACAUUUUAGUUGUUUUUGUAGAAAAGCAAAAGGUAUAUUAUAAAUUGAAACUGGAUAACGUAGAAUAUCAAGAAAAAACCUAAAACAUUGCCAUAGAAAUAGUUAAAUGAAAGGUCAUUGCCAAGUAACUGCUAAGCUCAUGCAACUAGGGCAUAUGGAAAUCCUUGCUGUUAAACUUAAGUUCCUAGAUCGUUUACCAAGGACGUUUGAACAAUCCACAUUUUUUUUUUCCUUUUCCUGGCAGAUGGAGCUGUUGAUACUUUACAUCGAGCUGGGGGAAUCUCAGUCGUUAAGUCUAUUCCAGAUUCUAUUGAGGAUGCUGAUGUUAUGAAAUACAAGUCAAGCUUGCUGAAAAGAUUUGAAGACUUAAGAUAUCAUACACCGUCUUGAGUUGUGGUAAAGUAUUUUCGGGUUAAAAACCUUUUCUAAAUGUUGCAGGAGGCUAGAGUUUUGAGGGAUAACUCUCUUGUAUCUUUCUAUUCAAUUGAAUAAUGUUUCACUUACUAUAAAAAGUCACUAAAAGUAAGAUAAUUAUUGGGAGAUAUGAUACAUCUAAGAGACCUUAAUAUACCCACCUGAGUUAGAAUCGAUUUAUAUGGAGUGCAUAGAAUGCUCCUAGCAGACCCUAGUGCUUCCAUUGUACUGCAAGCAAGUUAAAUUCUGUAUUCGCAUAGAAUAUCAUGAUCCUGCUGCAUGAUUGCAUGCUCACACCAGAUCAUUCUCAUCUUCAAUCAAAAUAGAAAUAGAAAAAAAAAGAAAAUUAAUCUCAGAAAGAAACAUUGAAAAUCAAUUGCUUUUCAUACCGGCUAUGAUUAAUUCAGUCAAAUAUAAAGGAAUAUGUAAGUUGUAUCUGCUUUUGAAGAUUGCCCUAAACCAAUUUGGUCAAUUAAUGAAAGAAGCAUACCAAAGAGUGCCUUGAAAACACUAUCCAGACUGGGAUAAUUGUGGUGAGAUGAACAAGAAAAUGGCAUGAGAAAAGUUUUUCUAAGAUUUGAAAAUCCCAUACAAUCAUAUUCAAUUUGAUGGAAUUGUUUCAUUUUAAUCGAGAUUUUCUAUGAUUUCGCGAACGAAGGGUUAUUUCUUGGUUUCAUCUAUUCGUUAAUAAUUUAAUUAUUUUUAGAUAAUAAUAAAUAGAAAGAAUGUUUGUAAGCAGUUCUAUUGAAAGUAGGAACAGAUUCAAAUACUUAUAAAUAAGAUAGUUCAAUCUUUGUUAAAACGUAUUACCGGAUUAUCCCCCUGAAGUAUGAAGUUCUCUUUCCAGGAAAUUUUCUUUUACCUAGCCAAUAUAAGAUAUAUAGAAGGAUACAGUCUUCUUUAAUCAUGAAAAAGGAUUUUAUCAACUAAACUACCUACUAUACAUCAAUUUUCUUCUGCUUUCAAAGAUAAAAUUAUCAAGUGAGUGCCUUACCCAUUCUUGAAAGCUUUCUGGGAAACUCCAUGGCAACUCCUCAGCCUUUCUAAUAAUUAUCAGUGAGAAUGAUUUAAUGCUAUACAUAGUCUGUGUUUUACCUUCUUCCACGGCUAUGAACAUUUUUGUACACAAGUGUCCUAGAUUUGUGUUUUGGUACUUAGUACAGCUUCUCUGUGUUGUUCUAACGUCCUUGGUCAUUGAUUAAUCAAAGAAAUCUUCUUACAUAUUUAGAGAAAGAAUCAAGCUAAGCUAUAUUACAUAAAUCAAACACCGACGAAAAAUUCACAUCUGCGCUGGAAAAUUGAAGAAUACAAGCACUACAAGAUCUUCAAUGCAAAAAAGAAUCAUGACUUGUUGCCCAUAAAACUGUAUAUAUUGGUGGAAAUUGCAAUUAUGCUUGUUGCAAUAGCCAGAACUAUCAUUAUCACCGCUAUAAUUCUAUCCUUGGAGGUUGAUAUGCCAUGAACAUCCCUGUCAUUACAAAAGACGAAAAUAAGAAUCAGAAUAAUCCGAUUAACCACAAUUUGAUCGAUAGGCAAAGUGCUCUUCUGGAAAAGUACCUUAAAACGAUAGCGCCCGGGAAGAUGAAAGCGAGACAAACUGCAGUAGUUGAUCCCAAGAACUGGAAAAGGUACCAAAUACUUGGGACAACAAUGGCUAAAAGGUAAGAAAAACCGAGUAGACUAACUGUAAGAGCGACAAAUCUGGGAGUGUCUGUUGCCAAAGGAGGCCUCUUCGGGAAAAGGAACUCGUCCAGGUUCGAUCUUAAAGAGAAAUUCAAGAGAGGAUACACAAGAACAAGAUGCAAUGCAUAGCUUAAUCGGACUAUGUCAUUAAGUAAUGAGCCUACAGCAGUAUCUGAAUUUUGAUCGAAGUUAACAAGUAUGUCCUCCAUGAUUGAUUCUCCGAAAAGAACGUACCCGAAAAGGCCUAUGGUGAAGUAUAUUGCAGCACAUAACAGCAGCGAAAUUCUCACUACUGAUAUCAUAUCAGAAGGCUUGCUUAGUUCAGACCCAAUUGGAUGAACUGCAGGAAUGAUCAAAAAAGCACUUGUAAAGACACCAGAACUGAUAAUUCGACAGACAAAAAAUUUUGCUUGUUCUUACCAUUAAAAUGAAAUGUGAAAGCUGUAACGAUAACUGGGACUGCAGUAAACAAGUUUAAGAAGGAAACUCCAUUGUCCAAUUCAGGAAGCAGUCUCGGGUUCUUUGUUUUGCCUUCCACGAGUGCAGUUAUUGCCAAACCUGAGGUUAUACCGACAAAUAUAACAGCCAGUAGAACAGCUACUGCCGAACUGCAGCUCAAUGAUUCUGCGGAAUGAAAAACAGUCAUCAUCGCCGUAUCUACUUAAACCUGAUCGUAUAAUGAUAGAUAUUAUAACUCGAAACAUUCUACUCUAUUACCAUUAUAAGACUUAUGUAACAGCUGAAAUCUAAAUACCAGACAAGAGGAAACCCGAGGGGGAAUGAAUUACCUACACGCCGGAGUAAAACCAGUGGAAGCAUUACGAAGAUAGUGAUGAAAAGCAAUGCGAAAACCCGCGAAUUCCACCAAUGAAAUCCGAACCAUUCUUGCAGAACACCCAGAUGAACAGAUCCUUCAGGCUGAUUCCCACAUAAAACAUCCCCUGACAAAAAAAGAAACCAAAAUCUACCCAUUAAAAAACACAGUACUAAUUCAGAUCAAGACAACUAAAACAAGCUUCUUGAAUCUUAAGCACUCACCAAUGAUGAUCAAGUAAACAAUCAAGCAUCCAAGAUUAGUGAUCAUCACAGAUAUUUGAACAGCAACAGAUCCUAGCCGUCCAAAUGACUCCCUCAUGACACCAGAAUAUGUAGUGGAAACACCAGAAUACGUAAAUCUCAUCAAGAAUUCCACAGAGAUAUCAACCAAACAGCCAACAAUCACAAUCAACACAAAAGCUGGAAUCACACCAAGCACUUUGAGGGUGGCUGGGAUUGACAUAAUCCCAGCUCCAAUUAUACUCGUGGAUACAUUAAACACAGCCCCGGACAACGAAGCUUGCCUCCCCGGCUUCCGGUGGUCUGGUAGGAGCGGAACCUCUGAUCCAGAUGCCGGAGACAUUCCUCCGGCAAGAUUGAAAAGUAAGUUCUUUUCUUUUUUCUUUGUUCUGGGUAUGUGUUAUAGCAUGUAAUGGUAGAAUAAUGUUUGUCAUAUAUAUAAUAAUACAAGGUUCAAACCAAGAUCAAAUGAACUUGAGUUGUUUAAUGACCAAAAUCAAAUCAUUGGAUUGAUAAUUGGAAAAAUUAAAUGAAGGAGAGAAUCGGGAUUGGUCUGUUUAGGAAAAUUGUGGAGACGACAGGUUGGAAUCAUAUGAAAUCUUAUAAAAGAAAAUGUAUAUGGACGGAAAAAGAGGUGGUAUGAAGGGUCCAGUUUGGAUGGCCAAGAACCAAACAGGAGAUUGAUUGUCUCUCUGUGUACCAUGAAUUUAAAGACAUUAACGUACUAAAAAAAUAUUAUAUUAAUUUUUAUGACAAAAUUACUUUUUAAUGUAAUUAUACAAAAAAGUUGAAGUUACAUAAAAAAAAGAGAGAAAUUUCCAAAUUAAUUUCAUAAAAAUUCUUAAUUUAUUUGGAAUAUAAGGUGUAAAUUGAAGUUAAAGUUGUGAUCAUUGAAAAAUCAAAGCUAAAAUUAGUAAACAGAGACAGAAACCAUUAAGACAUAAGAUUUAGAGCUUAUUCAUACGUACCCUAAAUCCAAAACUUGAAAAAGACCUAAAGCUAAUUAUAAAUUCAAUCCCAUACGUAAAGAUUCAAGUUUAUCAGACAUCCGAGCCCACUAACAAAAUGGUACGUCUAUGUCUCUGUGUGUGUGUCUUUAUGUGUGUGUGUGUUUUUGUAUGUACACAUCUAUAUAUAGGAUAAAAAUAUAUGUAUAUGUGUCUACAUGUGUAUACAUAUGUAUAUAUAUAUAUAUAUAUAUAUAUAUAUAGAAAGAGAGAGAGAGAGAGAGAGAGAGAGAU